AGGGGUAGACCACUGAGUUUUCUUUUCACUGAAAUGUUUUAGAUCUUGACAAGUCUCGUGGGCUACAUUUAAGCAUCUUGCAGAGACCAUCAAAUGAAUCUUGUGCAAAACAAGGAGAAUUGAUGCCGAUGUUGCCAAUGAGCCCUGACUACGUGGUAGGCUUAGCUGCCCAGAGGUGGUCAGGGAUUUCAGUUAUUUAUUUAUUUUUGAGAACGACAAACGUUUAAAAUUGGGAAAUAAAGUGGACUUUCUCUCUGUAAAAGGAAGGGCUAUAUUCUAUCUCCAGAAGGGAAUUGUGGCAAGAGAACAGAAGCUUUAUAGGGAAUUACUGGUAUUAUCAAAGGCUUUUCAAAAUAGACUUGAAAUGAAUAGUUGUGUGCUGGUUUUAUUACUGCUUUGCGAGUUUACAUUUUGUUUUUGUAUGGUAUUUCCCCCUCCCCCCAGGAGAUGGUUGCUAGGGCAUGAGAGCAAAUAACCUUUAUUGUGUUAAAUUUGGGACUGAAUACAAUUAUCUUAUAAUUUGGGUUCACAGUGCCAUUUUUGACAAGUUAUAUUACGAGCUUUUUGCGCAAAACUGAGCCCACAUGCCAUAAGCUGCUUCCUACUCGGUAACUCUCCAAGUUAUGGUGUUGCUGCUCUCCCCUCCCCCUUCCUCGGCACAGGGGCAGCCUUGGGACCAGAUGCUGCUGGAGGCAAACCAGAUGAUCCCAUGUAGUUCCCGCCCAGCUCCAGUACCGUGUCUUCUCAUGAUUCCCCAGACCUGAGUCUCCAGGGUGCCACGCUUGGUUAUCAAUACAAGCAUGCUGCAUCUUUCCAGAAGAAAAUCGUGAGUAAACCAAUUUUGCAAAUCAUGACCACGUUCCUAGGAACCUCCAGGACCAGUUCAGAGAGGCUUCAUCUCCCAUUUCUGACUGGUCCGUAGUCAGCAACACUUCGGACCACGGCAUUUCUGUGAAGGUAGGUAAAGAGCUGUAAGGAAAACGCUUACAUGCACCGUGGGGGCACACACUUACAGAAGUGCUUCUGAAAAGCCGUCAUCUUUCUCUGUUCCUUCCUAUGGCCCUGGCAGAAAUUGGGGUUCCCCUAGCAGCAGGCCUUCAGGUAAGGGUUUACGUGCAAAUGGCUUACUAGGGGGAUAAGACAGGGAAGGGAAGGAAGUCAGUUCAAGCGAAGACAUGGAGGGCACGAGGGUGGGCUGGUGGUGCCCAGUCCUGCUGGGAACCUCUGGGAGGCAGUGGAGAGGGCCUGCCUUGGCUUCAAAACCACCUGAAGGAGCGGGAGCCUGGGCUUUUUAUCCAUGGGCUCCCAUGGUCUAAAUUAGGUGAGGGCUGCGUUAGGGGAAGGAGGUGUUAAUUUCCCAGCCUUUCUGCCUUCUACAGGGGCAGGGCUAUUGCAAUCCAAGAAAGCUCUUGGAGAGUAAGUGCUGGCAGCUGGUGGCCAAGCCAAAUGUAAAUGGCUGAAAUGUAAAGGGCUCUGGGCAGGACACCAGCAGUCUGCUACGCUUAGCUUCUCGGAGCAUGUGUGAGGAGGUGGGACUCUCCGUAGUCCCUGAGCGUCCCUAAAAUGACCGUUCCAUACUGGUGUCUUCUACAUGAAUUAUCUGCCAAUCAAAAAAGAUUCAUGGGGUGUUGGCUGGCUCAGUCGGUAGAGCAUGGGACUCUGGAUGUUGGGGUCAUGAGUUCAAGCCCCACCUUGGGUGUAGAGUGUGUGUGUUUAAGGCUUUUAAAAAUUGUUAGGAAAGUGAAGUUAGGAAAUGCCUUCUUUAUGCAGAAGUACCAGGAGAUGUAACCAGUGGCCACAAUCAAUGGAUUAAUCUCAACCCUUUUCAAAAUGCUCCCAUCCAUCCUCGUCAGUGGGCGGAAGAUCUAGAAGUGAAUAGAUACAGCCUUUAUUCUCAAGAUGAUCUUUGAUCCACCAUCAGUGGAUUUCCAGGAAUAGCAUAUGCUUACCCCUUAGAUGCUUUUCAAAAGUGCUCGCCUAUCCCUGGGUACCUUGUGGACCCUGGUGUGGGAGGCAGACCAGCUCUAACUUGCCCAGGCAGGCGGGGGCCAAUCAGAGGUGACACCGUCCUUUAUUUAGGUAUCAGCUCCGAACACUAACAACUGAAAAGUGUGAUUGAACCCAGGCAUCCUAAUUCCUAUGACAUUCUCCUGGCGACCUUGAGCCUCUGUUUCUCCCUGAUGUCAGUCUGGCAGGUGCCCCAGGUGGCAUCUUACUUUGAGAGUUGAUGAGUCUGAGUUCCUCACACAGCAUGAGUGCGAGAACCUGGUGAGGAGGAGAAUUAAGCUCCUGGAGUCAGGACAACACACAGAUGCCACAACUGAGUGGAGCUGAGCUUCCCUUGAGAAGCCUACUGAUGGACUGGCAUCUUGGCCAAAUGGAAUUCAGAACACUUCUCCAUCAAGUCCGCCUAAGUGGUAGCCUGUGUCGGUAUCAGAUCCAUUGACCAUUUCCACUUGGACUCCUAAUUCCAGUCCCUGGUAUGUAAUUUGUGAGAUUUCAGAGCUAGAAAAAGAUUUUAAAGAUCACUUAGCCAACCUGUCUGUUUAACUGAUAAGGGUACUGCAUUCCAGUGUGGUUAAGUAAUUUGCCCAAAAUCAAACAGCUAGUGGGGAGCUGGCCCGAAGGAGAAGAGCCCGUCUUCUCUCUCUUUGCUAUGAAGCUAGUAAGGCAGACUUUCUCAGUGGAUUCAGUAGAAGGAAAUGUUUGAUUCCGCAAAUUUUUUUGGAUUUUCCUCAAGACCGUACAAGUCACGGUGGGAAGACUUGAAGAACCAGACAUGGUGUCCUCAUGGCUCUUAGUCAUGUAGGUGUAGAGAACUAACUGUACAGUGUAGCAGAGAAGUUUUAAUAUGUGGGUCCCUAUGAUCAAAUGAGGGACUCACUUUGCACCCCAUGUUUGACGAGGCUCCUGUUACUGGCAAGGAAUUCAGCCUUCCAAAUCUGUGCUGGGACAUGGGGUGCCAGGGACCUGGCAGCAGACACAGGAGAAGACACAUGUGUAGAGGUAGGCCAGUAGACUCCCUGUCCCUCACCCCGCUUUGACAGAGAUGACUGAGGUCUGAGGUCUGCUGCCUGCCACCACCCACCCGCAGCUACUUCCUGACUCUGCAGCCUUGGGCAGGUACGUGAUCCUAAAAUCGAAUUUCCCCAUUUCUAAAAUCCUGUAGAUCGCAUCUACAUUGGUGGCUGGGAGGAAGACUUAGGCAGGUAAUACACGGCAAAUUCUCAGCCCUUGAUAAAUACUCCUGUCAGUGUUCUUUUUCCCAGUUGCCACCUCUGCCCACAGUACCUCCCCCUUUGUCUACCUCUUCUGAACAGCUUCCCACCCUUCCCUUCUCCCCCUGCUCUCCUGCACCAUGUGCUUAAGCUCUUGGCCUCCUAGCUCUCUUACCCUAUUUCUCCUCCCCUCUCCCUGGUCUUCAUUCCCUCUUACUCUUCCAGUUCAUUCGCCUUCCUGCUUUCUUCUAAAUGUCUUUCAUGUCAAUUCCCUUCUCCCACCCCUUCUCUGGCCCCAUUCCCCGGGUUCUCUUGCCUUUCUUGGCUGUUACUCUCCUCCUGUUUGCCUGUAGUCCACUCCCUUUAGAUUCCCCUAGACAGCCUUGCUCUGCCAUCUCCCGUGUUCCAGGCCUAAUUAGGAGCCUGAUCUCCACCCCCCGUCUCUCCCAGAGUCUCCCAGUUUGGAUCCAGGAAGCAUACCAGAUGAUGGUGGUAGGCAGCCUCUGCGAUGGCACCCCCAAAGUCCCCACCUCCUCAGAUCCAUGCUGUCAUGGAAUCCUCUCCCUUUCAGGAUGUGCUGGACCUAGUGACUGGAUUCUCACGAACAGGAUAAAAAUGAGGGGACAGUACUUCUGAGCUUAGGUUAAGAAAGACUACCGCUUCCAUUUUCGGUGCUCUCUGGCUCUGAGGAAGCCGGCUGCUAGGCUGUAAACUGCCCUGUGAGAGGCACACGUAUCAAGGAGCCGAAGUCUCCCGCCAGGGAGGUCUACCAACAACCAUGUCCAUGGUCCACCCCUCAAGCCCCAAGAUCACUGCUGCCCGUCCGCCGUCCUGACGCAGUCUGUGAAGGAUCCCCGAAAUCCGGGUGCCCAACAAAGAGGUUCUGGAUUCCAACCCACAGAAACUGUAAGACAAUAAACGUUCGUUGUUUAAAGAUGUUCAAUUUUAGGGUAACUUGUUAGGCUGCAAUAUUAAAAAUGUGGAGUUGUCCUUCCUAGAUCACCCUUCAGCAAGGUUUGUCUCCUGUUGACCUUGAGCAAAUCACUGCUGUUCUCUGGGUCCAUCUCCUCCUCUACCUAAUAGACUCAGGGGUUCAUGGUCAGCGUCCCAGGUCUCUGGUCCGUGAGGAUGUGGUCGAGGAUGUUACAAGAGGCCUAUGUGUUCUGCUGUGGCGCAGACGGAGCCCAGCUAACUUAAGCUCCACAUCUCUGUAUGUGCCUCACAUUUUUCACUCCUAUUAUCUGAAGUCUGUUUCUAAUUUCUGACAGAACCACCGUGGCCUAUUGUGGGCCGCACUCUGCGUGACAUGCCAGUUUCAUUUUGGAGUCACUGCUAUUGUCUUUUGCCCUGCUAAUCUCUCUUGUUUUGCAAAAAUUCCAAUAGAACGCAUGAACCCAGAGAGCUGCCCUUGCACCCGAUCUUGGCGCUGUGUGGUCCCCACACAGGGGUGGAUGAUAGACAGACAGACCGUCUGCCACCCAAGCCAUCUUUUCUUGCUUAAAAAUUUGCCUUCCAGAUUGCAGACUCCCUUCCAACUUGAGCAAAGACGAACGUACUAAAUAAAAGCAGAGCUGAAAUUGGACAGAAUGUCUCAGCCCCUUCGAUUCAGACCUCGCUUGCAGGAGAAAGCGUGGGGAAGCGGAGGGGGCUCCGAUGGACGUGCCUGCAUGGGGAACGCAGGGGAGGAAGGCGUCCAUACCUUUCUCCUACCAUUCGCGCCUGCAGCGGGGCCUGUAAUCCAGGACCCAUCACUUAUGUAUGGUGUCCAUGGCAACCAGGCAAUGGUAUGGGACCCCUUCUCACUGGGGAAUUCCUUUUAUGGCUCAUUUCCGAAACCAGCAUGGCCAGUACACGAGUCGGCAGUUUCCCAGUUGCUUAGCAACCAGCUCCAAUGCUCUAGUCACUAGGAAAAGCAGACAGUCUUUUUUUUUUUUUUUAAACUGUUUGUCGUCAGAAUCAUAUGUUACAUUCUCUCUACUUUGUCUCUUUAGAAUAAAAUAAUUAGUGUGUGAUAAGGAUGCAGGAAAGGGCGACCGCUCCCGUCAUUAAUGCCUCCACUGCUCCUGGAGGGCCGCGCAGGCAGGGAGAGGGAGGAAAAUGUUAGCAUGCACUCGGCUGGUAAUUAAGCAGCGCGAGCCAUCUGCACGCUGAAAGCUCUACAUUUUUCACGUCUCGUGGGGGCAUCAAAAUUUUCCAGACUGGAUAAUAUCCCCUGCCAGCCUCCACCCUGGCUUGCUAUGGAAGCCCCUCCAGCCCCCCGACCCCAAUCACUUAAAAUGCCUUGUGAACUCCGUUAUUCCUUUCUUGAAAUGCGUCAACCAGUACUGCACAUUCUUUGCAAAGUAAGUGCCUAAGGAGCAUUGGAGGGAACAGGAUACAGAUGUCUCUGCUGUCAUACCAUAUACUUGUUCCUGAGAAGCUCCCAUGGUUUACGGCAUGGACUGGUGGGGACAAAACUAGGUUGGGGCAGACCACACUCAAAGCCCUACAACUCUGUAACCAAGGCACUCUCAAAAACUUUGUCAAAGCUAACAAAAAUGGGGGCGCCUGGGUGGCUCAGUCUAUU